rnacentral:rRNA from 1 species
GAUGAACGCUGGCGGCGUGCCUAAUACAUGCGAGUCGAGCGAACAGACGAGGAGCUUGCUCCUCUGACGUUAGCGGCGGACGGGUGAGUAACACGUGGAUAACCUACCUAUAAGACUGGGAUAACUUCGGGAAACCGGAGCUAAUACCGGAUAAUAUAUUGAACCGCAUGGUUCAAUAGUGAAAGACGGUUUUGCUGUCACUUAUAGAUGGAUCCGCGCCGCAUUAGCUAGUUGGUAAGGUAACGGCUUACCAAGGCAACGAUGCGUAGCCGACCUGAGAGGGUGAUCGGCCACACUGGAACUGAGACACGGUCCAGACUCCUACGGGAGGCAGCAGUAGGGAAUCUUCCGCAAUGGGCGAAAGCCUGACGGAGCAACGCCGCGUGAGUGAUGAAGGUCUUCGGAUCGUAAAACUCUGUUAUUAGGGAAGAACAAAUGUGUAAGUAACUAUGCACUUCUUGACGGUACCUAAUCAGAAAGCCACGGCUAACUCCGUG